UCAGGUGCUGCCCCCACGACCUGCCGUUUUUACAAGGAGCUGGAUGCGAUACUUGGGUGUGACCCCACUGCAAAUGCUAGGAGCAUGAUGAAGAGUUCAGAAGAG